rnacentral:ncRNA from 2 species
UAAAGGUUUGGUCCCAGCCUUUCCAUUAGCUACUAGUUAACUUAUACAUGCAAAUAUCCUCGCUCCGGUGAGAAUGCCCUCUAUAUCUUUCCUAGAUCAAAAGGUGCAGGUAUCAAGCUCACUAUAAUAUUGUAGCUCAUAACGCCUUGCUCAACCACACCCCCACGGGAAACAGCAGUAAUUAAAAUUAAGCAAUAAACGAAAGUUUGACUAAGUUAAACUAUAAUUAGGGUUGGUAAAUUUCGUGCCAGCCACCGCGGUCAUACGAUUAACCCAAGUUAAUGGAUUACGGCGUAAAGCGUGAUUAAGAGAAACCUUAAAUAAGAUUAAAACAGUACUAAGCCGUAAAAAGCCCUAGUACUAAUUAAAAUAAGUAUACGAAAGUAAUCUUAGAAUUUCUGAACUCACGAUAGCUAAGAUACAAACUGGGAUUAGAUACCCCACUAUGCUUAGCCCUAAACACAAAUACUCAACAAACAAGAGUAUUCGCCAGAGUACUACUAGCAAUAGCCUAAAACUCAAAGGACUUGGCGGUGCUUUACAUCCCUCUAGAGGAGCCUGUUCUGUAAUCGAUAAACCCCGAUAAACCUCACCACCUCUUGCAAUAUCAGCCUAUAUACCGCCAUCUUCAGCAAACCCUAAUAAGGUAUCAUAGUAAGCACAAGAAUUGUACACUAAUACGUUAGGUCAAGGUGUAGCCUAUGAGGUGGAAAGAAAUGGGCUACAUUUUCUAUAUACUAGAACAUUCCCAACGAUAACUUUCAUGAAACUCUGAAAGUCAAAGGCGGAUUUAGUAGUAAGCUAUGAAUAGAGAGCCUAGCUGAAUUGGGCAAUAAAGCACGCACACACCGCCCGUCACCCUCUUCAAAUAUUCACUAAUACUUAUUUCAUAAAUCAAAAAACUAAAUAUAUAAGAAGAGAUAAGUCGUAACAAGGUAAGCAUACUGGAAAGUGUGUUUGGAAUAAC